AGGUUUUGGGAUACUUGAGUUAAACGUUCUUAGGUUUGAAUAGUACUAGGUUAGGUGACCUCCUGGGAAUUCCAAACUCAGGAACUU
rnacentral:rRNA from 1 species